AUUUCUUUUGGUGCCUUUGUGGCCAAACACUUAAAGAGCCUAAACCAAGAAAGCUGCAUCGAACCUUUAGCAGAAAGUAUCACAGAGGUUCUUGUAAGGAAGAAGCAUAACUGGCUUGUGAAACAAAGAGGCUGGGAUGGGUUUGUGGAGUUCUUCCACUUACAGGACCUAGAAGGCAGCAUCAGAAAUGUGCUGCUGGCUUUUGUGGGUGUUGCUGGAGUAGGGGCUGGUCUGGCAUAUCUAAUAAGGUAGCUUGUGAGUGCAAUAGGUGACUCUAAAACCUCCAGCCACCAACUACAUGCUUCUGUGAGAACAAAUGUGUUUAUGAAGGUGCACUUGAAGCUGCCCGGGAUUUUAACACGGCAGAAAGAAAGUGGCUACAGACUUGUGGCUAAUGAGAAUAAAUACAUGGGAAAAGUG
rnacentral:lncRNA from 1 species